rnacentral:lncRNA from 1 species
AAUCCCACAUUUAAGCGAAAGUCACGCGUUUUCUCUUCGCAAAUCCCCCAUUUAACCAGAAAACCAAGCAUUUUCUCUUCGCAAAUCCCCCAUUUUACCAGAAAAAUCACGCGUUUUCUCUUCGAAAAUCCCCCAUUUAACCCGAAAAUCACGCGUUUUCUCUUCGCAAAUCCCCCAAUUAACACAAAAAAACCACGAGUUUUCUCUUCAGAAAUCCCACAUUUAAGCGAAAAUCACACUUUUCUCUUCGCAAAUCCCCCAUUUAACCAGAAAAUCAUGUGUUUCUCUCAAAUCCCCCAUUUAAGCGAAAAUCACGCGUUUUCUCUUCGCAAAUCCCCCAAUUAACACAAAAAACCACGAGUUUUCUCUUCAGAAAUCCCACAUUUAAGCGAAAAUCACACGUUUUCCCUUCGCAAAACCCCCAUUUAAGUGAAAAUCUCGCGUUUUCUCUUUGAGAAUCGUCAAUUUAAGUGAAAAUCAAGCGUUUUCUCUUUGAGAAUCCCCCAUUUAAGUGAAGAUCACGAAUUUUCUCUUCUCAAAUACCCCAUUUAAGCGAAAAUCACGCGUUUUCUCUUCGGAAAUCCCCCAUUUAACUUGAAAAUCACGCGUUUUCUCUUCGGAAAUCCCCCAUUUAACCGAAAAUCACGCGUUUUCUCUUCGCAAAUCCCCCAAUUAACACAAAAAAACACGAGUUUUCUCUUCAGAAAUCCCACAUUUAAGCGAAAAUCACACGUUUUCCCUUCGCAAAACCCCCAUUUAAGUGAAAAUCUCAGCGUUUUCUCUUUGAGAAUCGUCAAUUUAAGUGAAAAUCAAGCGUUUUCUCUUUGCGAAUCCCCCAUUUAAGUGAAGAUCACGAAUUUUCUCUUCUCAAAUACCCCAUUUAAGCGAAAAUCACGCGUUUUCUCUUCGCGAAUCCCCCAUUUAACUUGAAAAUCACGCGUUUUCUCUUCGGAAAUCCCCCAUUUAACCAGAAAAUCACGCGUUUUCACUUCGAGAAUCCAACAUUUAAGUGAAAAUCAUGUGUUUUCUCAAAUCCCCCAUUUAAGCGAAAAUCACUCGUUUUCUCUUCGCAAAUCCCGCAAUUAACACAAAAAACCAUGAUUUUUCUCUUCAGAAAUCCCACAUUUAAGCGAAAAUCACAC